ACAUGCAAGUCGAACGCUUCUUUCCUCCCGAGUGCUUGCACUCAAUUGGAAAGAGGAGUGGCGGACGGGUGAGUAACACGUGGGUAACCUACCCAUCAGAGGGGGAUAACACUUGGAAACAGGUGCUAAUACCGCAUAACAGUUUAUGUCGCAUGGCAUAAGAGUGAAAGGCGCUUUCGGGUGUCGCUGAUGGAUGGACCCGCGGUGCAUUAGCUAGUUGGUGAGGUAACGGCUCACCAAGGCCACGAUGCAUAGCCGACCUGAGAGGGUGAUCGGCCACACUGGGACUGAGACACGGCCCAGACUCCUACGGGAGGCAGCAGUAGGGAAUCUUCGGCAAUGGACGAAAGUCUGACCGAGCAACGCCGCGUGAGUGAAGAAGGUUUUCGGAUCGUAAAACUCUGUUGUUAGAGAAGAACAAGGACGUUAGUAACUGAACGUCCCCUGACGGUAUCUAACCAGAAAGCCACGGCUAACUACGUGCCAGCAGCCGCGGUAAUACGUAGGUGGCAAGCGUUGUCCGGAUUUAUUGGGCGUAAAGCGAGCGCAGGCGGUUUCUUAAGUCUGAUGUGAAAGCCCCCGGCUCAACCGGGGAGGGUCAUUGGAAACUGGGAGACUUGAGUGCAGAAGAGGAGAGUGGAAUUCCAUGCGUAGCGGUGAAAUGCGUAGAUAUAUGGAGGAACACCAGUGGCGAAAGCGGCUCUCUGGUCUGUAACUGACGCUGAGGC
rnacentral:rRNA from 1 species